rnacentral:rRNA from 1 species
AAAUGAAUAGACGGGGGCCCGCACAAGCGGUGGAGUAUGUGGUUUAAUUCGACGCAACGCGAAGAACCUUACCAAGGCUUGACAUCGAUUGACAGACUAAGAAAUUAGUCCUUCUCUUCGGAGACAAGAAGACAGGUGGUGCAUGGUUGUCGUCAGCUCGUGUCGUGAGAUGUUGGGUUAAGUCCCGCAACGAGCGCAACCCCUGUGCUAUGUUGCCAGCAAGUAAAGUUGGGAACUCAUAGCAGACAGCCGUAGAAAUACGGAGGAAGGCGGGGAUGACGUCAAAUCAUCAUGCCCCUUAUGCCUUGGGCUACACACGUACUACAAUGGGCUUUAAUAGAGGGAAGCAAAACUGCGAAGUCGAGCAAAUCCCAAAAACAAGCUCUCAGUUCGGAUUGCAGGCUGAAACCCGCCUGCAUGAAGUCGGAAUCGCUAGUAAUCGCAGGUCAGCAUACUGCGGUGAAUACGUUCCCGGGCCUUGUACACACCGCCCGU